AUCAGAGCGAACGCUGGCGGCAGGCUUAAUACAUGCAAGUCGAGCGCCUGUAGCAAUACAGGAGCGGCAGACGGGAGAGUAACACGUGGGAACGUGCCCUUUGGUUCGGGAACCAACCACAGGGGAAACUUGUGCUAAUACCGGAUAAGCCCCUUACGGGGAAAAGAUUUAUCGCCAAAGGAUCGGCCCGCGUCUGAUUAGCUGGUUGGUGGGGUAAACGGCCCACCAAGGCGACGAUCAGUAGCUGGUCUGAGAGGAUGAUCAGCCACACUGGGACUGAGACACGGCCCAGACUCCUACGGGAGGCAGCAGUGGGGAAUAUUGGACAAUGGGCGCAAGCCUGAUCCAGCCAUGCCGCGUGAGUGAUGAAGGCCUUAGGGUUGUAAAGCUCUUUGGUCCGGGAAGAUAAUGACUGUACCGGAAGAAUAAGCCCCGGCUAACUUCGUGCCAGCAGCCGCGGUAAUACGAAGGGGGCUAGCGUUGUUCGGAAUCACUGGGCGUAAAGCGCACGUAGGCGGACUUUUAAGUCAGAGGUGAAAGCCUGGAGCUCAACUCCAGAACUGCCUUUGAUACUGGGAGUCUCGAGUUCGGAAGAGGUUGGUGGAACUGCGAGUGUAGAGGUGAAAUUCGUAGAUAUUCGCAAGAACACCAGUGGCGAAAGGCGGGCCAACUGGGUCCGAUACUGACGCUGAGGUGCGAAAGCGUGGGGGAGCCAAACAGGAUUAGAUACCCUGGUAGUCCACGCCGUUAAACGAUGAAUGCCAGCCGUUGGGGAGCUUGCUCUUCAGUGGCGCAGCUAACGCUUUAAGCAUUCCGCCUGGGGAGUAGCGGUCGCAAGAUUAAAAUCUUAAAUGA
rnacentral:rRNA from 1 species